rnacentral:lncRNA from 1 species
CACUACUAAUCCGUGGAGAGCAAGUCCAACCGGCAUGAGCGACACCAACGCGAAAGCACAGCGCCCGUCUCCGGAGUGGCACUCGUGGGAGCUACCCAACCGAGUAUGCAGCGUAUCUCUGUCGAGCUCAAUCAGGCUCUCGAAAGCCAAAGUCUAGUAACCGACUCAAACUGGUCUAACAACCAACAGGUAACGUGCCCUCGGCACAAUCCGACGCCAAAAAGGCGAUACGGGUCCACUGUCAACUCUGACAGCACCCAACCGAGUAUGCAGCGUAUCUCUGUCGAGCUCAAUCAAGCUCUCGAAAGCCAAAGUCUAGUAACCGACUCAAACUGGUCUAACAACCAACAGGUAACGUGCCCUCGGCACAAUCCAACACCAAAAGGGCGAUACGGGUCGACCGUCAACCCCGACGGCACCCAAUAAUCCGGAACAGCCUGAACGCUAUUGUAAAAAUAC